rnacentral:sRNA from 1 species
UGAUAACUCCUAAUUCACCAACCAAUAAAAAAAUCAAAUAGAUCCACCAAGGGAAGGACGAGAGCCUUCGACCAAGGUUCGAAUUGAGCGUAGCGAAAUAACAGUGCGCGUAGCGCAUUGGCCCGCAGGGUGAGGAACGAAGUGACGAAUCAUCCUUCCCCCACCACCA